rnacentral:rRNA from 1 species
AUACGGAGGAUGCAAGCGUUAUCCGGAUUUAUUGGGUUUAAAGGGUGCGUAGGCGGUUUGCUAAGCGGGAGGUGAAAUGCCGGCGCUCAACGUCGGAAGUGCCUCCCGAACUGGUGGACUUGAAUGACUCUGCCGUGGGAGGAAUGUGUAGUGUAGCGGUGAAAUGCUUAGAGAUUACACAGAACACCGAUUGCGAAGGCAUCUCACGAAGGGUUGAUUGACGCUGAGGCACGAAAGCGUGGGGAUCAAACAGGAUUAGAUACCCUGGUAGUCCACGCAGUAAACGAUGAUGGCUAACCGCUGGGCUUAUCAGUUCAGUGGCCAAGCGAAAGCGAUAAGCCAUCCACCUGGGGAGUACGACCGCAAGGUUGAAACUCAAAUGAAUCGACGGGG